UCAAUUAUUCUACAUGUCACUCGUUCAUGUCAUAGUGCUUCUACCACACUCGUUCAUUGCCACUCUACUAGGCUAUGUCCAAGUUCGGCUCUUUAUGCCGCUAUAGGAUUCUAUGUCACAAGACCCAAUCCUCAUGCUAUCCUAGUCCACGUGUCAAGCUCACCCCGCUACACUACCAAGAAAGUAUGCAAGGAAAUGGAAAUGUACAACUACUACUCCUAUAGCGCAAUAUGAUCAACAUAUAUAUAACUUAGACAUAAAAAGAAACCCGGAUGCUUCGGGAUGACACCCCCCACCUUUUGUGUAUACGGAGGCUCUAGAAAUGCGCUUCGGCGUUCUUUACGACGAAGCCUUGGUCUUCUUGG
rnacentral:lncRNA from 1 species